ACUGCGGAGACAUUAAUGAAAAAUAGGACGUUCUUUUUAGAAGUCCGACCCUUCAUUUACUUUACACUGUGCACACACUUCUUUUUCACCCAUUUUUAAACACUAUAGUAUAAGAAUGUACCAGUCUCUUAAUUGAGCAUAAAUAUAAAAUAAAACUUUCAGCAACGGAUCUCUUGGCUCUCGCAUCGAUGAAGAACGCAGCGAAUUGCGAUAAGUAAUGUGAAUUGCAGAAUUCAGUGAAUCAUCGAAUCUUUGAACGCACCUUGCACUCUUUGGUAUUCCGAAGAGUAUGUCUGUUUGAGUGUCAUGAAACUCUCAACCCCCUUAUCUUGUAAUGAGAUAGGUGUGGGCUUGGAUUAUGGCUGUCUGUCGGCGUAAAGUCGGCUCGGCUGAAAUACACGAGCAACCCAUUUGAAAUAGACGGUUUGACUUGGCGUAAUAAUUAUUUCGCUAAGGACGUCUUCUUUAAAGUUAGAGGUGCUUCCAAUGCGUUUUACCAAAAACAUUUAAGCUUUAGACCUCAAAUCAGGCAGGACUACCCGCUGAACUUAAGCAUAUCAAUA
rnacentral:sRNA from 1 species